UAUGGUUCCUAUGGAGCUACAU
rnacentral:snRNA from 1 species